GUGUGGUAUUGAUCAGUCCCCUGGCACCUAAUAUUAACUUUCAUUCGUCCUGCAGCCAGAAUGCAUAUCAAAUCAUAUGACACGCACUGUGUGGGCACAAUGACUCCACGAUAUGAACCUCCAACUCUGCACUCAUUGUUCUCCCACCAGAAAAGCCACUGCAGGACUUGAAUCCUACACAGCAACAAUUAUCAAAGACCAAGCGAGGCCAAAUAAAUAUUUUGCUUCCCACAAACGGUACUAGUCAAUCCCCUGUUGGCUGUGAUAAUAACUCGCAGUCCAGCCUGUAACGCACAGUGGAGUGAGUCAGAUUCGCCAUGCAGCCGUGCGGAGAUAUUGGGGACAGCCUGCGCAGCGGAUGAAACAGAUGAAAAGCUUUUGCCGGGGAUGUGUAUAAUCCUGUCCUCACGACAGUCGUCAGACCACCUCGUAGAUUAUAACUCGGCUGAGGAUCACUUUUCUGGGCUAUUUGAGUUCCACGAAGAGCGGCGGUGACACGCACACUUUGUCAAACUGCCCUCUUCCUCAUGACUAUUUGUGAAGCACCAAAACAACACGCAGCUGCAGCAGCAGCAGCAGCAGGAGCAGCAGCCGGAGAGAAUGCCUCAAUGUGCCGCUUUUUUUUCCACGGUUUCCACUCAUGCCUGUUGCACUGUGGACGCGCUAGGAGGAGACUUGCAGCUGACAAGCAACAAGCACAUGGUGCCUUAUUAUGAUCAAUGAAUGAGGAGAGAACAAAGGCCCUGAAUCAACCGAUCACUAGAUGUGGAUCAAAAGCGGGAAGAGCUGCCAAAUUUCGCAUCCUGUCCGGACAUUUACCAUCUUUGCUCUGAAAAUCGGCAGUGAGAUGGGUUUUGACUCCAGCCACAGGCACAAACAAUUUGGCCAACAAGUGAAAUCACGUACAGACAGACUGGCGAUCGCAGCAGCAUUAAGUAGCAGAUUUUCGCUCGGGGAUUUUCAGACGAAGGCUACCUGACAUGUUGCUGAAAUCGCUACAGAGCCAGGUGAGAAACAUUAAAAACGGCAGCAGCUGCGGCCCUCUGCUGCGCACAUGUGGGCCAGGAUAUGAGCUAGCAUGAGCUCGCCCACUGUCAACACUGGUCACUAUUGUUAACACUCUCCUCUCUGAAGCACAAAAUCAGUACUGAGGAAAGAAAGGGAAGGCAUGGUGGAAUCAGUAUUUACAGUUUAUUGCAAUGGGAGCUGUCAUGCUUAACUUUAGGACAGUGGUUCCCAAUCGUUUUGAUGUGUGACUCUUUAAAGGUCCAGUGUGUAGGAUUUAGGGGGACAUAGUGGCAGAAAUAAAAUAUAAAUAAAGUGUUUUCUUUAUUGUAUAAUCACUGGGAAAAAAAGAAUUGUGUUUUUGUUACCUUAGAAGAAGCCAUUUAUUUCUACAUAGGGAGCAGGUCCCCGACUACGGAGAUCAGCGUGUUGCACUGCCAUGUUUCUGCAGUGGCCAAGAACAGACAAACACUGGCUCUAGAUAAGGCCUUUCCCAUGUCUGAGUUCGCAGCCCCUCUGCAAACACUUUUGAAGACGCAGAUGGUGAGGUGGUGAAUUGACGCCAGAUUGUAGAAAUUAAAUGUGCGAGGAAUUGUAUAAUAAUGUCUCUCACACGUUUAAAUUCGCCUCAUAUCACACGGUACUUUUAGAUCCGCUUUAUCAUAAACAUUUAAUCCACCCACUUUAUUUUUGCUCAUGCUCGUGAGCCAUACUUUUUCCAUAAGCACCUCUCAGCUCAAUAUUUCAUCAGCUCGGUCUCACCAUCACAUUCCCAAAUCCAGAGCGCAGAGGAGAGGGGUAGACUGUGUGCUGCUGACGGUCAUGGUCAGCUGUGGAGCGCACAUCAAAUAGCAUUAGAUAAUUGCAAAACAGAGCGUCAACAGUUUUCAAUAAUAUCUUCCAAUACUGUUAGCACGUGUCACCAAGUACGACUUUAGUUUUCAUAUAGUGUUUGUAUGUAAAAAAUCACUGAGAUGAGCACGACUAUGCACUUGGGACGUCACAGUGUUGCCAUACAUGCUCCCGCUCCACUCACCUUACAUACAUCUUCACCACCUGCAUGUAUAGAUUAUGUAAAUUACUGAAGUCUAGAAAUAACGCCAGUGAUGGCUCUCACACAAUUAUUAUAACAAACUUAAAUAGAUAGAUAAAUUAUAAUAUCCCAGGGUCAGGGACACACUGACUGUCACAAUCCUUUUGGCAUGGUGUGAAACAAUCAGUCUAAAUGCUGUACACAUAUAAACACUGCACUGACACUCAGUUGUUGCCGUGAUUCACCCAUAAAGACACUCAUCAGCAGGCUCAUUUCUGUGCAUCAGCAUUCACGAGGGGCUUUGCAUACAUCAUUUAUAGUUGAAUGUGGGCGUUUAGAGGGCGUAAUAUAAAGCUGAUCCAUGUGCAGACAAUUCCAAGUUGAUUUGGGAUUUAGAAAAGGAAAUUGCACACUGUCAGGCGUGGGCACAAAUAUUUUUUGCUGCAUGCCAUUUCCUGCUGUUGUCCACACGUACACUUUUAGUAUGGAUCCUAUGAACAAGACCUCAGGUCGGUUUGUUUAGGAGAGGAAGAGACCUCUGUGGAAAAUUCAGCUCCCAGUAAAAACCUUCUAAACAGUGAACGCUGAAGGAAUUAUAACCAGGAGAAGUUAUCGGCAAUCCUCACCGCUAACUGCCUCUAAAUCCCCUUAAAUCUUACACACUCUUCCUUUAAAGCAUUUUCUACUUGCAACCUCAUUGGCAUUUUGUUGCAACAAGUUGCAAGCAGUUCAACCAAAGAGGGAUUUUCAGUCACAUAUUGUAAUAUUAAGGCUUGAAGAGGAAAACUUUCAUACGGUUCACAAUAAAAAAGCAAAGAUUAAAGAUAAUGUGGGGUAGAAAAAUAUAGUUUUUGUCUUUCUAAUCAUCACUUGACCUCUUGAGACAGUAUGUUUUGAAUAUAACAUUGCGUGUAAUAGUUUGAGGUUAAACUAUCAUCCAUUAUUUUGAGUGUACACUACCCCUUAAGUUAUUUGCUGGUCACAUUUGAAUAUGGAAAAACCUUGGCCAUAAAAUUUGUUUGGGACAUAUGCACCUUGUUGGAUCAUUUGAAUUCCCCCCGAGCUGGAGCCAUGAACCGGGUGACCAGGUUGUCACGUUGUGUUCUGAACACACACACACUCUGGUCACACCGGUGAGGCGUCCCAGAGGAGAGUGGCAUGUGUGUUUGUGUUUCAGUGAAUCAUAACUGCUGUUUUGCAUUCAUCGAGGUGUGUCAAAGCGGAUUACCUGCAUGAACGGGGGACCUGAAAUGACUUUGUUUUUAAAGACUGUCCUUUGGGGUGAGGUAGUAGGUUGUAUAGUUUUAGGGUCAUACCCUUCCUGUCAGAUAACUAUACAACUUACUGUCUUUCCUGAAGUGGCUGUAAUGUCAUCAGAUGCCAAUGUUGGAGCUUUUGGAUCUGGAUCGACACUGGAGUGUGCAUGUUUACCUGCUGACAGCUAAGAACUCAUUUGCAGCGUUGUAGGUCAUUUAGGGUUGUUGCUGUAGGUAGUUUUCUGUCUUGUGAUUUUCAUGGUUGCAUUUUUUUUGGUAAAUAAAAUAUUUGCUUUAACCAUUUUCAGUGUUUUUUGUGUUACAAAUUUCUCUAGAAAUAAAAUGUGUUAGUCUUUAAAAUGUGAUAAGAUGUUUUUAUGUACUCAGUGUCUUUUUCGUCACGCUACUUUAAUGCUCUCCAGCACACCAGUGCUCGCCAACCUGUACGACCCUUCUGAUGUUCGAACGGGGUGAGGUAGUAGGUUGUGUGGUUUCAGGGUAGUGAUUUUGCCCAAUCAGGAGAUAACUAUACAACCUACUGCCUUCCCUGAAGGGCAGCAAUACUUCACCAUGCAGGCAACAGGGAGCGUCUCUCUCACAGCAUCAGAAAAACUCCCAAAAUCAACAAACCAAACCAGUUGAACCGUCUGGCCCUGAGUCACCAAUCCGCUUCUCACCUGGAACGUAGGCGUCCAUGGCCAAUCAUAACAGCAGAGGACCAGCAGGUAAAGUCUGUUCACUGUGGGAUUUGUCUUUGAUUUGGUUUUGUUUGUUUUUCUUCUGCUUCAAACAUCAAUAAAAAAGUAGA